UUAGCUCUCUUUGCCUUUUGGCUUAGAUCAAGUACAGUAACUGUUCUUUUUAGUUUAAUCUCUAGAAGCUUCCCUACGGGGAUUCUAGGUUAAACUAGUUUUUGGAACCCGCUCUGGGGGCUCUUGGGCGCCGCCCGUUCCUCCAGAGCACAGUGUCGCCUCUAUUGCACUGCCUGAGGCUGACGCGAACCCUC
rnacentral:snRNA from 1 species